GCUACCCUGUUCACUAAUGAUGAGAGAACUCGCUACUUUUAUAUCCUUAAAAUAUUUCUGUUCUCAUUAAAGGGUGAUGCUAAGAUAUGGUUUAAUUCUCUUGAUCCUGGUUGUGUGCGUAGUCCCCAGGAUAUAAUUUAUUACUUCUCUGCUAAAUAUUUCCCCGCUCAUAAGAAACAAGCUGCUUUAAGGGAUAUAUAUAAUUUUGUGCAAAUUGAAGAAGAGAGUCUCCCACAAGCUUGGGGGAGGCUUCUCAAGUUAGUUAAUGCUUUGCCUGAUCAUCCUCUUAGGAAGAAUGAAAUACUUUAUAUCUUUUAUAAUGGACUAACCGAUGCCUCCAGAGAUUACCUGGAUAGUUGUGCUGGUUCUGUUUUCAGGGAAAGAACACCGGAUGAAGCUGAAAUUCUAUUGAAUAAUAUGCUGACAAAUGAAAAUAAUUGGACGCCUCCUGAGCCAGUUCCUGAGCCUAUUCCUAAACCAACUCCG
rnacentral:rRNA from 1 species